UACGUAGGGGGCAAGCGUUGUCCGGAUUUAUUGGGCGUAAAGAGCGUGUAGGCGGCUUUGCAAGUCCGUUGUGAAAACUCGAGGCUCAACCUCGAGACGCCGGUGGAAACUGCAAAGCUAGAGUCCGGAAGAGGAGAGUGGAAUUCCUGGUGUAGCGGUGAAAUGCGCAGAUAUCAGGAGGAACACCCGUGGCGAAAGCGGCUCUCUGGGACGGUACUGACGCUGAGACGCGAAAGCGUGGGGAGCAAGCAGG
rnacentral:rRNA from 1 species